AUGAACUAAUUCAGACUGUGAAACUGCGAAUGGCUCAUUAAAUCAKUUAUAGUUUGUUUGAUGGUAUUUGCUACUCGGAUAACCGUADUAAUUCUAGAGCUAAUACSUGCAACAAACCCCGACUUCUGGAARGGAUGCAUUUAUUAUAUAAAAGGUCSACGCGGGCUCUGCUCSUCUCUUCSAUGAUUCAUGAUAACUCSACSGAUCGCACGGCCCUCKUGCCGGCGACKCAUCAUUCAAAUUUCUGCCCUAUCAACUUUCSAUGGUAGGAUAGUGGCCUACUACGGUGGUGACSGGUGACGGAAAAUUARGGUUCGAUUCCSGAAAGGGAGCCUGAAAAACGGCUACCACAUCCAAGGAAGGSAGCAGGSGCGCAAAUUACCCAAUCCUGACACGGGGAGGUAGUGACAAUAAAUAACAAUACCGGGCUCUUUGARUCUGGUAAUUGGAAUGAGUACAAUCUAAAUCCCUUAACGAGGAUCCA
rnacentral:rRNA from 1 species